rnacentral:rRNA from 1 species
AGAUUGAACGCUGGCGGCGUGCUUAACACAUGCGAGUCGAGCGGUAACAGGCGUAGCAAUACGUGCUGACGAGCGGCGAACGGGUGCGUAAUACAUGGGAAUCUGCCUUUUAGUGGGGAAUAACCCGGCGAAAGCCGGGCUAAUGCCGCAUAAGAUCUUCGGAUGAAAGCGGGGAUCGUAAGACCUCGCGCUGAUAGAUGAGCCCAUGCCGGAUUAGCUAGUUGGUGAGGUAACGGCUCACCAAGGCGACGAUCCGUAGCUGGUCUGAGAGGACGGCCAGCCCACACGUGGGACUGAGACACGGCCCAG